UUAACAGGAGAAUAAUAUUCAGUAGAUUAUGGGUUUUCAAAUGAUACCUCACAAGCCAUACUGUGUACAAAAUUGAUCAUAAUUUUCUAGAAGAGUGAACACAGGGGUACAGACUGACACAGUGUCUGUGUGUGUGUUCCCAGCAGAUAUGUGAGUAUUUCAAUCCCUCUAAGCAUAGUGUUCAGCAUCUUCAUGGACCUGGGGAACUGGUCCUGGAAAUUCACUGGUUUACCAAGUGUGACACUGUAUGGAAUUGUGAGACACUUUUGGUAUUAAUAAUAAAAUAAUAAAAUCUGAUAAAAUUGCAAUGAAUCGUGCUAGAUAUGCCAUGGAAGGUGUCAGUGAAAAUGUUAUGAUUUUCCAAGUAUGAUCAUUUUGUUUCUAUGUUUCUAUCACCUUUGUACUUUGAGUUAUAGAUAUGUAGGAUAUAUCUGUAUUUCCAGACUUGGGCAGUGUUUCUGGGUGACACCUCCAGACAUAUUGGCAUCAACACUGCCUAGCCUGUUUGAUGGCCCAUUGAGGGUCAUCAGCUGUACAAUGAGCCCGUGGAAAGGAUCAAGGGUAUACACCUAUUGAGUCAGCAAGACAUUCCCGGCAAGGUUUCCUGUUACCCAGCCUGAUGUGAUGUCCCAGCUGGAACAAGGGGAAGAGCCGUGGGUCCCAGACCUCCAGGGCUCUGAGGAAAGAGAGAUCCUGAGAGCUCCCCGCACAGCAGGUGAUGCAAUGGCAUGUGAGAAAGAGGAGCAGAAUUCUCAGAAGGAAAAUGUUGAGCAAGUGGAUAAACACAGAGCAUUAUCGCAAAGAUCGUAAAGGAAUGUGUCCAGGAGUAAUGAGCAGGGAAACUCCUUUGAGAUUCAGCACAGACCAGAAAGAGAGCAAGGAAACCAGCCAGGGGACAAAUUGGAUAAAUGUAUUUCCUGUUGGGGAACUCAGAAGGUCCUCAUGGAAACCACAACACAACAGGAAAUCCUUAGGCGAAAGAGAAAAAAAUACAUGCAGUAAGUGUGAGAAAAACUUCACUCACAGAUCAAGCCUUUCUGUUCAUCUGAGAAUCCACACAGGGGAGAGGCCCUACGAAUG